CAAUAGUGUCAUAUCCAAAGAGACCAAUCAGUGGUGGACUCCCUAUCAAGGAUGGAGAUCUUUCAAUAAUCGAUAAAUUUCCGAGAACUUCAAUCCCGUGUGAGUAAAGCUUUUUUCCAAUUGUGUUUUCAUCUAACAGCCCAGUAGCAAAACAUGUUCUAUGCGCUGAAGAAUACUACAUAAUACUCCUCUGCUAUAUUAUUUUCAUGAAGCUUGCUUCAACUUCCAACUACCCUUCUAGUUCUCUACCCUCUUAGAAGCUGUCCGUCAUAAUAUCUCAGUCUUGAGUCUCGUCGUAACACUACGACCACAACACACUCUGUUCUUAUCAGGCAAACACCACGAGAAGACCCUCUGGGUCUAUGGUGGCCUCUAGAAAACAUCACAUCAACUCUCUUUGGUCCAUUCUGUCACAUGGCUUCAACAUCAACCUGGACAAGACAGCUCUGAUCACACCAUCACAGACUGUGCUUUUUCUCUAGGGUCUCACAGGUUCGGCUGUCAUGCUGCUCAAGGCUCGUCUUUCCUGUGAUGUUUCCAGAUCCUGAUCCUCCUUGAGCGUCGACUACUGUAUUGUCCUGCUUCGCCCGUUUCUUGCACCAGCACCCGCUACAGACCACUGUAUGGUUUGGACCUUUGCUCGGCUCCAUCGCGCUGCCCGUGCCUUUUAGUUGAGAACACCAUAUGGUGAGGCGCAUUAACCAAUGCGCAGGCGCGUUGUGCUACGCUAGAAAGUUUCAUAUGGGACAGAUCGAACGACCUCAACAUCUCAGCUAGCAACUGUAAAAGUAUUUAUUAAUUACAACAAUUAUCGCAUUAAACCUUAUCCUUUAUUUUGGAGGACAUCAUUAUCUACUAAAGUUAGAGUUUCUGUAUGAAUCACUC
rnacentral:sRNA from 1 species